rnacentral:rRNA from 1 species
GACGAACGCUGGCGGCGCGCCUAACACAUGCAAGUCGAACGAGCGAGAGGAGGUUUACUUUCUCAAGCGAGUGGCGAACGGGUGAGUAACGCGUGAGGAACCUGCCUCAAAGAGGGGGACAACAGUUGGAAACGACUGCUAAUACCGCAUAAGCCCACGACCCGGCAUCGGGUAGAGGGAAAAGGAGCAAUCCGCUUUGAGAUGGCCUCGCGUCCGAUUAGCUAGUUGGUGAGGUAAUGGCCCACCAAGGCGACGAUCGGUAGCCGGACUGAGAGGUUGAACGGCCACAUUGGGACUGAGACACGGACCAGACUCCUACGGGAGGCAGCAGUGGGGAAUAUUGCACAAUGGGGGAAACCCUGAUGCAGCGACGCCGCGUGGAGGAAGAAGGUCUUCGGAUUGUAAACUCCUGUUGUUGAGGAAGAUAAUGACGGUACUCAACAAGGAAGUGACGGCUAACUACGUG